rnacentral:rRNA from 1 species
AUUGAACGCUGGCGGCAGGCUUAACACAUGCAAGUCGAGCGGAGAUGAGGUGCUUGCACCUUAUCUUAGCGGCGGACGGGUGAGUAAUGCUUAGGAAUCUGCCUAUUAGUGGGGGACAACAUUCCGAAAGGAAUGCUAAUACCGCAUACGCCCUACGGGGGAAAGCAGGGGAUCUUCGGACCCUGCGCUAAUAGAUGAGCCUAAGUCGGAUUAGCUAGUUGGGGGGGUAAAGGCCUACCAAGGCGACGAUCUGUAGCGGGUCUGAGAGGAUGAUCCGACACACUGGGACUGAGACACGGCCCAGACUCCUACGGGAGGCAGCAGUGGGGAAUAUUGGACAAUGGGCGGAAGCCUGAUCCAGCCAUGCCGCGUGUGUGAAGAAGGCCUUUUGGUUGUAAAGCACUUUAAGCGAGGAGGAGGCUACCUGGAUUAAUACUCUAGGAUAGUGGACGUUACUCGCAGAAUAAGCACCGGCUAACUCUGUGCCAGCCGCCGCCGUAAUAC